rfam:Colletotrichum chlorophyti strain NTL11 CCHL11_scaffold104, whole genome shotgun sequence.
ACAUACGACCAUACCCACUGGAAAACUCGGGAUCCCGUCCGCUCUCCCAUAGAUAAGCCAGUGAGGGCCGGAUUAGUAGUUGGGUCGGUGACGACCAGCGAAUACCUGGUGUUGUAUGUC